GGGGGGAAGCCUGUGAGUCGUCGAUAUAUCAUUUUCAGUAAUUUGAAAUCCUAAAACUGGUCCAAGUUCCGUGAUGAGCUUUUUUGGGUUAUCGUCAGCCAAGAUUGGUAUGCCCGUUAUCUCUAAACAGUCACGCCUUUGCCAUUGAUUGAUUUCAUCAUUGGCGACAUGUUUACCCUCAUUGUGACAUUCAUGCACUUGAGCGUAUCGUGAAUGACGAAUUACAGAAGGUUUGUUUAUGGCUGGAGGCUAACAAAUUAACACUAAAUAUUAGUAA